GCCCAGGUGGUGGAAUUGGUAGACACGCUGUGUUCAGGUCGCAGUGAGCUUACGCUCGUGAGAGUUCGAGUCUCUCCCUGGGCA
rnacentral:tRNA from 1 species